AAGGCACACCUGUUCGUCGUAAUGGAUGUGUUUUCGAAAUUCUCCUUGCUGUUUCCGGUUCGAAAGAUUUGUGCUUCACAAGUGUGCGAAAUCCUAGAAACAGCUUGGUUCCGGAGAUAUUCUGCACCGGAAUACUUAAUCUCCGAUAACGCGUCCGCGUUUUUGUCCUCGAACUUUAAAGAUCUGCUUCAGAAGUUUCAAGUCCAACACUGGACGAAUCCACGCCAUCACAGCCAAUCUAACCCGGUAGAACGACUGAACCGCACCAUAAAUGCCUGUAUUAGAACCUAUGCUAGGACCAAUCAGACACUCUGGGACACACGUGUACCCGAAAUCGAAUUCGCUUUAAACAAUACACCCCACGUUGCCACUGGAUUUUCCCCCUACCGCAUAAUCUAUGGCCAUGAAAUUGUAAGUCGCGGCGAUGAACAUAGACUAGAUCGGGACAUAGAAGAACUUUCGGAUGCAGAGAGAAUUCAAAGAAAACUUCAAAUCAAUCAAUCUAUUCAUGAACUAGUUCUCAAGAAUCUUAGGAAACAAUUUGACAAAAAUUCACAACACUACAACUUGCGUCACAAGGAAUUCGCCCCGGUGUACCAUGUUGGUCAAAAAGUGUUUAAGCGGAACUUUCGCCAAUCCUCAGCUCCCAAUCGCUAUAAUGCCAAACUGGGACCUUGCUAUCUUCCGUGUACCGUCUUAGCGCGGGUAGGAUCCAGUUCCUACGAAUUAGCCGAUGAAAACGGGAAACCAAUCGGUGUAUUCUCUGCGGCAGACCUAAAGCCGGGGGAAAACUGAAAAGAAAAACAACCAAAACAAAAUUCAUUCACUUAACGUUUAAAAGAUACAUCAAUCAAAACUUUCCUUGUUUAGUUGCGGCCGAACUAAACACUGGAGUUACUCCUGUAACGAAAUCAAAAACGUAUUAGUCAUGCAACCAAAAACUCGCGAUCAGCUGUGUACUGCAAAUCGUUCCCAACCAUCCAAAACCAAGGAUGAAUGAUUCCUUUCAUUGAAUGACUCCCCCACACAACAGACUGUAGAAAUGUAAACAAAUCGGUACCGUAACUGUGAAUGAAAACAGCUCCUGUUGAACACGCGCGCAUUGUUCUUUCGGAAGCAUUCAAGGAAAAGACUCAUUUCGAUUCAGAUAACGUACAUAAACUCACCUGCAAUAGAUUUUAAAUUUAGUUUGUCCAUUUUCGUUCCAAAUUCAAUUUUGCUCGUCGAUUCACUGUUUGUUUAUUUUUUUUAAUUUGUAGAUCGUCAGACAGCUCGUAUGUUUUAGUGUUGGUGAGUGACUCCGGAGAUAUCUUUCCAUUGAGUGAAAGAGUUGCUCUGGCGACACAGUGUUGCCAAAUCCAUGUACAACACAAUUGAUUUUCAAAUGAAAAUAAAUUUGAUGUUGAUUUGAAAUGAUACGCUAUUUAGGCCUCAUGCUCAAUCAAAAUGAAUGUUUACAUUCAUUUCAAACUGGGAUGACGGGGCAUUUGUAACCGUAGGUUCCAAUUUAUAAGCUUGUUGGCUCCUCCACAAGCAAUCCCUUCAUUUAAACCUAGCGCACCAGUAAGCACCUAAAUCCCAAAUCCAACCCUGAACCAACUGACAGCCUUACUGGUGGAGAACUCACAGCUGUCGGUGAAAUGCGCAGGCUGGCUACUCAUAUAGCACUCGUAGUGGAUGCUCACACCUGUCACUUAUUAUAACAGUGGUUUGAAGCUUAAGGUAAUGCAACUCAGAGUUCCUUAAGGGAUACCAACCAUCACGACUAUACUGGGUGCUGACACUCGGAAUAGUUCGGUUUCUCUGUAGACCGUUUAAUCAUGCGCCAUUGGAGAAAGAUCUUUCUUUCUGUCCGUGACCGCCAAAGAAGAUUGAAGUGCGCGUCGGUCAAUCUUAAAAAUCUAUUUCGCAGUUAAAAAGCCUAGUUAAAACCUACAAAGCUAUCUUAAAACUAAGUGUUAGUGCUUAAAUAAAAACUACAGUACGUUAAACCAGAUCAAGCCACGUGUGUUAACCAAAAAAACCACCAUCUGUGCCAAUUAGAAGUAAACCAUUAUAAGAAAAGGUAAUUUCUUUUGUGUAAAAUCAGAGAGAGAGAGUGAGAGGAGGGAGAGACGAUUGUAAAGACGAGGGUACUAAUCACCAGGAUCAGGUCCGAUCUCGGGCCUUUUCUUUUACGGCUCUUCGGGCACAUCCCCGAAGCCUUUAUUCCAUCCACAGACUGGACGACGCCAAAACCCAGAUUCAAGCCAGAAUCUCCCGGCUCGAUAGCCAUCCCGUCCGCCAUCUUGGGAUCAGGUCUAUUCACGGACAGAAGAACGGGUCGCAAGCUAUAGAAAAACCGCCAUUUUGGGACAAACUGCAGCUACCACGUGCCAAGUUGCCAUCCAGCCACCAGGACACCGGUCCAAGACGGGUAAUUCGCCAUCCACUGGCCAAACGCCGGUGAUUCCCGCCGAUUCCACUGGUCAAGCACCGGUGAUUACCGCCAUCCAUCCGGCCAGGACCCGGUGACUCCGCCAUCGGUCAAGGCAGCCAAGGUCAGCUGACGACAAGUUUCGCCCCAAGCCAUCAAUCCACACCAACUCCGAACCGGUAGGGAACCGGUACAGCACCCAAGCCUCCCACCAUGUCAGCUCGAUAGCCACCGAGCAGCCGUGCCUCCGCCGUGCUUCUCGGCCAGCUGCAAAGCAGCCAUCUUGCCUCCGUACCUCCGCAUCACCAGUUUCGCUGCCGUGCCGCCGUCGUGCCACCAUCAAGCCGUCAUCGUAGCAUCACCACCAGACCACAAAAAGCGCAAGUACCCUCUCAUGUGCCGUCUCUCUCGUAAAAGCCCAAAAGGGCGAAUAAAUGUAUGUAAUAUGUAGUUAAAUGCAAUGGUGGUCAGAGUAUUCUUUUUGGACGCAUUUCCCUGAUUACAUCAUAUACACUGCUUUCUUAUUUCGCUGUUUCGAACCCAGAAAGGGGUUAUUAUGCCUCAUUCUUAGCGGUCCGCAUUCUGCUUUGGUAUCGGUGACUGGUUGUUUCCCUUUCCACCCGAACCGUGAGUUGAUUUUGAAUCAAGUUCCCGCUCAGGUAAGUGGACUAGGGUGUUCUAGUGUUCAGAACGGUGCUAUUUUGAGUAGACGACCCCGUGCUCUACUUAAUCCCACCCACAACAAGAUUAUAUCCCGUCGGAGCAGCCGAAGGGCUU